rnacentral:rRNA from 1 species
GGUAGGGUAAUGGCCUACCAAGGCGACGAUCCGUAGCUGGUCUGAGAGGACGACCAGCCACACUGGGACUGAGACACGGCCCAGACUCCUACGGGAGGCAGCAGUGGGGAAUAUUGGACAAUGGGGGAAACCCUGAUCCAGCGACGCCGCGUGGGUGAAGAAGGCCUGCGGGUUGUAAAGCCCUUUCGGUGGGGAAGAAAAGCCUCGACCUAACACGUCGGGGUAUUGACGUAACCCACAAAAGAAGCACCGGCUAACUCUGUGCCAGCAGCCGCGGUAAUACAGAGGGUGCGAGCGUUAAUCGGAAUUACUGGGCGUAAAGCGCGCGUAGGCGGCUAUACAAGUCGAGUGUGAAAUCCCCGGGCUCAACCUGGGAACUGCAUUCGAGACUGUAUGGCUUGAGUAUGGGAGAGGGAGGCGGAAUUUCAGGUGUAGCGGUGAAAUGCGUAGAUAUCUGAAGGAACAUCAGUGGCGAAAGCGGCCUCCUGGACCAAUACUGACGCUCAUGUGCGAAAGCGUG